AAAUUGAAGAGUUUGAUCAUGGCUCAGAUUGAACGCUGGCGGCAGGCCUAACACAUGCAAGUCGAGCGGUAGCACAGAGAGCUUGCUCUCGGGUGACGAGCGGCGGACGGGUGAGUAAUGUCUGGGAAACUGCCUGAUGGAGGGGGAUAACUACUGGAAACGGUAGCUAAUACCGCAUAAUGUCGCAAGACCAAAGUGGGGGACCUUCGGGCCUCAUGCCAUCAGAUGUGCCCAGAUGGGAUUAGCUAGUAGGUGGGGUAACGGCUCACCUAGGCGACGAUCCCUAGCUGGUCUGAGAGGAUGACCAGCCACACUGGAACUGAGACACGGUCCAGACUCCUACGGGAGGCAGCAGUGGGGAAUAUUGCACAAUGGGCGCAAGCCUGAUGCAGCCAUGCCGCGUGUGUGAAGAAGGCCUUCGGGUUGUAAAGCACUUUCAGCGGGGAGGAAGGCGUUAAGGUUAAUAACCUCAUCGAUUGACGUUACCCGCAGAAGAAGCACCGGCUAACUCCGUGCCAGCAGCCGCGGUAAUACGGAGGGUGCAAGCGUUAAUCGGAAUUACUGGGCGUAAAGCGCACGCAGGCGGUCUGUCAAGUCGGAUGUGAAAUCCCCGGGCUCAACCUGGGAACUGCAUUCGAAACUGGCAGGCUAGAGUCUUGUAGAGGGGGGUAGAAUUCCAGGUGUAGCGGUGAAAUGCGUAGAGAUCUGGAGGAAUACCGGUGGCGAAGGCGGCCCCCUGGACAAAGACUGACGCUCAGGUGCGAAAGCGUGGGGAGCAAACAGGAUUAGAUACCCUGGUAGUCCACGCCGUAAACGAUGUCGAUUUGGAGGUUGUGCCCUUGAGGCGUGGCUUCCGGAGCUAACGCGUUAAAUCGACCGCCUGGGGAGUACGGCCGCAAGGUUAAAACUCAAAUGAAUUGACGGGGGCCCGCACAAGCGGUGGAGCAUGUGGUUUAAUUCGAUGCAACGCGAAGAACCUUACCUGGUCUUGACAUCCACAGAACUUUCCAGAGAUGGAUUGGUGCCUUCGGGAACUGUGAGACAGGUGCUGCAUGGCUGUCGUCAGCUCGUGUUGUGAAAUGUUGGGUUAAGUCCCGCAACGAGCGCAACCCUUAUCCUUUGUUGCCAGCGGUCCGGCCGGGAACUCAAAGGAGACUGCCAGUGAUAAACUGGAGGAAGGUGGGGAUGACGUCAAGUCAUCAUGGCCCUUACGACCAGGGCUACACACGUGCUACAAUGGCAUAUACAAAGAGAAGCGACCUCGCGAGAGCAAGCGGACCUCAUAAAGUAUGUCGUAGUCCGGAUUGGAGUCUGCAACUCGACUCCAUGAAGUCGGAAUCGCUAGUAAUCGUAGAUCAGAAUGCUACGGUGAAUACGUUCCCGGGCCUUGUACACACCGCCCGUCACACCAUGGGAGUGGGUUGCAAAAGAAGUAGGUAGCUUAACCUUCGGGAGGGCGCUUACCACUUUGUGAUUCAUGACUGGGGUGAAGUCGUAACAAGGUAACCGUAGGGGAACCUGCGGUUGGAUCACCUCCUUA
rnacentral:rRNA from 1 species